GAGUCCUACGGGACGCAGCAGUGAGGAAUAUUGGUCAAUGGGCGGAAGCCUGAACCAGCCAAGUCGCGUGAGGGAAGAAGGCCCUGCGGGUCGCAGACCUCUUUGGACGGGGAGCAAGGCCGCCGACGUGUCGGCGGAAGGAGAGUACCCGUAGAACAAGCAUCGGCUAACUCCGUGCCAGCAGCCGCGGUAAUACGGAGGUCCCGAGCGUUGUCCGGAUUUAUUGGGCGUAAAGCGAGCGCAGGUGGUUUAUUAAGUCUGGUGUAAAAGGCAGUGGCUCAACCAUUGUAUGCAUUGGAAACUGG
rnacentral:rRNA from 1 species